rnacentral:rRNA from 1 species
CCCGCGGCAAGACGGAAAGACCCCGUGAACCUUUACUAUAGCUUGACACUGAACAUUGAGCCUUGAUGUGUAGGAUAGGUGGGAGGCUUUGAAGUGUGGACGCCAGUCUGCAUGGAGCCGACCUUGAAAUACCACCCUUUAAUGUUUGAUGUUCUAACGUUGACCCGUAAUCCGGGUUGCGGACAGUGUCUGGUGGGUAGUUUGACUGGGGCGGUCUCCUCCUAAAGAGUAACGGAGGAGCACGAAGGUUGGCUAAUCCUGGUCGGACAUCAGGAGGUUAGUGCAAUGGCAUAAGCCAGCUUGACUGCGAGCGUGACGGCGCGAGCAGGUGCGAAAGCAGGUCAUAGUGAUCCGGUGGUUCUGAAUGGAAGGGCCAUCGCUCAACGGAUAAAAGGUACUCCGGGGAUAACAGGCUGAUACCGCCCAAGAGUUCAUAUCGACGGCGGUGUUUGGCACCUCGAUGUCGGCUCAUCACAUCCUGGGGCUGAAGUAGGUCCCAAGGGUAUGGCUGUUCGCCAUUUAAAGUGGUACGCGAGCUGGGUUUAGAACGUCGUGAGACAGUUCGGUCCCUAUCUGCCGUGGGCGCUGGAGAACUGAGGGGGGCUGCUCCUAGUACGAGAGGACCGGAGUGGACGCAUCACUGGUGUUCGGGUUGUCAUGCCAAUGGCACUGCCCGGUAGCUAAAUGCGGAAGAGAUAAGUGCUGAAAGCAUCUAAGCACGAAACUUGCCCCGAGAUGAGUUCUCCCUGACUCCUUGAGAGUCCUGAAGGAACGUUGAAGACGACGACGUUGAUAGGCCGGGUGUGUAAGCGCAGCGAUGCGUUGAGCUAACCGGUACUAAUGAACCGUGAGGCUUAACCUUACAACGCCGAAGGUGUUU